UACGAAGGGGGCUAGCGUUGCUCGGAAUUACUGGGCGUAAAGCGCACGUAGGCGGUCUUUUAAGCCGGGGGUGAAAUCAUGGAGCUCAACUCCAGAACUGCCUUCGAUACUGGAAGACUCGAGUCCGGGAGAGGUGAGUGGAACUGCGAGUGUAGAGGUGAAAUCCGUAGAUAUUCGCAAGAACACCAGUGGCGAAGGCGGCUCACUGGCCCGGUACUGACGCUGAGGUGCGAAAGCGUGGGGAGCAAACAGG
rnacentral:rRNA from 1 species